rnacentral:rRNA from 1 species
GGCCAACGGGAGAAGGGUUGUUAAGGAACUCGGCAAGUUGACCCCGUAACUUCGGAAUAAGGGGUGCUCACGAGAGUGAGCCGCAGAGAAUAGGCCCAGGCAACUGUUUACCAAAAACACAGGUUUGUGCUAAAUCGAAAGAUGACGUAUACGAGCUGACGCCUGCCCGGUGCUGGAAGGUUAAAAGGAGAUGUGCAAGCAUUGAAUUGAAGCCCCAGUGAACGGCGGCCGUAACUAUAACGGUCCUAAGGUAGCGAAAUUCCUUGUCAGGUAAGUUCUGACCCGCAUGAAAGGCGUAAUGAUUUGGGCACUGUCUCAACAGCCCGCCCGGCGAAAUUGUAGUACCGGUGAAGAUGCCGGUUACCCGCGACAAGACGGAAAGACCCCAUGGAGCUUUACUGUAGCCUAAUAUUGGGUUUCGGUGUUGCAUGCACAGGAUAGAUGGGACGCUAGGAAGUGAGUGCUUUGGCAUUCAUGGAGCGGCCGUUGGGAUACCAUCCUUGCGACAUUGGAAUUCUAACCUGCGCCUCUGAAUCGAGGCGGGGGACAUUGUCAGGUGGGCAGUUUGACUGGGGCGGUCGCCUCCUAAAAAGUAGCGGAGGCGUUCAAAGGUUCGUUCGAUCUGGACGGAAACCAGAUGAAUGAGUGCAAACGCAUAAACGAGCCUGACUGCGAGACUGACGGGUCGAGCAGAGACGAAAGUCGGAGUUAGUGAUCCGGUGGUAUGUGAGUGGAAAUGCCAUCGCUCAACGGAUAAAAGUUACCCUGGGGAUAACAGGCUGAUCUCCCCCAAGAGUCCACAUCGACGGGGAGGUUUGGCACCUCGAUGUCGGCUCAUCGCAUCCUGGGGCUGAAUUCGGUCCCAAGGGUUUGGCUGUUCGCCAAUUAAAGCGGUACGCGAGCUGGGUUCAGAACGUCGUGAGACAGUUCGGUCCCUAUCUGUCGUGGGCGCAGGAUAUUUGAAAGGCGCUGUCCCUAGUACGAGAGGACCGGGAUGGACGAACCUCUGGUGCACCAGUUGUCACGCCAGUGGCACAGCUGGGCAGCUAUGUUCGGAUCGGAUAAACGCUGAAAGCAUCUAAGCGUGAAGCCGGCCUUAAGAUAAGAUAUCCCACUGAGUCAAUCAGGUAAGACCCCUUGAAGACUACAAGGUUGAUAGGCACACAGUGUAAGCGGAGUGAUCCGUUCAGCUAGCGUGUACUAAUAGGUCGAGGGCUUGACCC